rnacentral:lncRNA from 1 species
GAAAAUUGCCAUCACAAAGCUAAAAUCACAAAAUUCGUGGAUUUUAAAUUAGAUCUCAUAAAUCUAUGAUUUGAUAUUAUGAAAUAACUACUUUUAAGAAUUUUCUCCAAUCUCUCUCUGAAAAGCUUCGACAUCUUCUUCCGUUCAUCUGCUCCGGCUGCUCUCAUAGAGCCGGAGUCGGAUUUAAAUUCUCUCUUUUGAUAAAAAUCUUUUGUUUUCAUUCUUUUCUCAGCGGUGAAUUUCUCUAGAUCCAGAUCUAGUUUCGAUCCAUACCGGAAUGGUUGCGAGUGGUAUGAAGAUCUUCCUCAUACAGUUCAAGCUCCUUCUAGACAUCUCUGGUUAGGUCUUGGCCUACCUGUUUGAUCUGAUUCAGUCUCUUUUGUCUUCUGUUGAUUUGCAUGUUGGAUUAGAGUUAUCUUGGUUUCUUCACUAGUUCGAUCUUCUGUAGCAUGUCUCUCUGCAUGCGUCAGAAUCUGGUGUUGAAGGCAUUUGCUCCUUGUCAUUAACCUUUAGAUCUGAUUGAGAUCUAUUUCUUUCACAAGCUUCAAGCAGGCGUUUCAAUUCGUCAUCCCUUCGACUCCACCGUAUCCGGUUUGUAGACAAAAAAAUAAAUUGUUCUUUUGUUCUCCCGGAUCUUGUUACUUUGGAUUUCAAUUGUUUGGGCCAUUCACUAUAGGAGGUUUCUCUCUCUGUGGUUUGAUCAAGUUUGUCUCCACCAUCUCUCUAAGGUUCUCAUUCUAAGUCCACAUGCAAUUUGUACUAUCUCCAUUUUGGAUCAUCUGUUUUAACUGAUCAUGAUGUUCUAAUUGUUAGCUUGUGUUGUAUCUCUCUUUCGGUUAGUUUUAUGUUUUCAUAUUAUCUCCCUCUUGUGGGCUCAUGAUUCCGGGGAUGUUUGUCUACUCCGCCGGCCUGUUAUUCCCAGAUUACUUGUAAUCGUCGGCC